rfam:Pan troglodytes isolate Yerkes chimp pedigree #C0471 (Clint) chromosome 22, whole genome shotgun sequence.
GCUGGGCGCAGUGGUGGGCGCCUGUAAUCCCAGCUACUUGGAAGGCUGAGACAGGAGAAUUGCUUGAACCCAGGAGGCAGGGGUUGCAGUGAGCUGAGAUCAUGCCACUACACCCCAGCCUGGGUGACAGAGCAAGACUCUGUCUGGG